rnacentral:rRNA from 1 species
AACGAACGCUGGCGGCAUGCCUAACACAUGCAAGUCGAACGAAGGCUUCGGCCUUAGUGGCGCACGGGUGAGUAACGCGUGGGAAACUGCCUAUUGGUGGGGAAUAACGACGGGAAACUGUCGCUAAUACCGCAUAAGCCCUUCGGGGGAAAGAUUUAUCGCCGAUAGAUGUGCCCGCGUCCGAUUAGCUAGUUGGUGAGGUAAUGGCUCACCAAGGCGACGAUCGGUAGCUGGUCUGAGAGGAUGAUCAGCCACACUGGGACUGAGACACGGCGCAGACUCCUGCGGGAGGCAGCAGUGGGGAAUAUUGGACAAUGGGCGAAAGCCUGAUCCAGCAAUGCCGCGUGAGUGAUGAAGGCCUUAGGGUUGUAAAGCUCUUUCGGGUGGGACGAUGAUGACGGUACCACCAGAAGAAGCCCCGGCUAACUUCGCGCCAGCCGCCGCAGUAA